GACGAACGCUGGCGGCGUGCUUAACACAUGCAAGUCGAACGGAAAGGCCCUGCUUUUGUGGGGUGCUCGAGUGGCGAACGGGUGAGUAACACGUGAGUAACCUGCCCUUGACUUUGGGAUAACUUCAGGAAACUGGGGCUAAUACCGGAUAGGAGCUCCUGCUGCAUGGUGGGGGUUGGAAAGUUUCGGCGGUUGGGGAUUGACUCGCGGCUUAUCAGCUUGUUGGUGGGGUAGUGGCUUACCAAGGCUUUGACGGGUAGCCGGCCUGAGAGGGUGACCGGCCACAGUGGGACUGAGAUACGGCCCAGACUCCUACGGGAGGCAGGAGUGGGGAAUAUUGCACAAUGGGCGGAAGCCUGAUGCAGCAACGCCGCGUGCGGGAUGACGGCCUUCGGGUUGUAAACCGCUUUCGCCUGUGACGAAGCGUGAGUGACGGGAAUGGGUAAAGAAGCACCGGCGAACUACGU
rnacentral:rRNA from 1 species